CUUUCCCUCCUGCCGCCGAGUCGCGCGGAGGCGGAGGCUUGGGUGCGUUCAAGAUUCAGGUUCACCCGUAACCCACUGCCAUGGCCGAGGAAGAGGCCUCUGUAAAAUUGACAGAGAGGGGAAACCCCAUAAAGUGGUUGGUUACAGUUGUGUAGUAGUUAAGGACUAUGGCAAGGAGUCUCAGGCCAAGGAUGUCAUCGAAGAGUAUUUCAAAUGCAAGAAAUGAAGAAAUAAAUCUUUGGCUCACAAAAAAAAAA
rnacentral:lncRNA from 10 species